CCUACGGGAGGCAGCAGUGAGGAAUAUUGGUCAAUGGGCGCGAGCCUGAACCAGCCAAGUCGCGUGAGGGAAGACGGUCCUAUGGAUUGUAAACCUCUUUUGUCGGGGAGCAAAAGACGCCACGCGUGGCGUUCCGAGAGUACCCGAAGAAAAAGCAUCGGCUAACUCCGUGCCAGCAGCCGCGGUAAUACGGAGGAUGCGAGCGUUAUCCGGAUUUAUUGGGGUUAAAGGGUGCGCAGGCGGAAGAUCAAGUAAGCGGUAAAAUUGAGAGGCUCAACCUCUUCGAGCAGUUGAAGCUGGUGUUCGUGAGGAAGGGAGAGGUAUGCGGAAUGAGUGGUGUAGCGGUGAAAUGCAUAGAGAUCACGCAGAAU
rnacentral:rRNA from 1 species